rfam:Brachypodium distachyon strain Bd21 chromosome 5, whole genome shotgun sequence.
UUUGUACUCCCUCCGUCCCAUAUAAAGUGACUUUCUAUUACAUGUAUCUAGAUGCUUUUUAGGCUUAGAUUCAUUCAUAUUUGGACAAAUUUGAGUCACUUGAUGUGGGACGGAGGAAGUAUUCU